rnacentral:rRNA from 1 species
UGAGGAACAUGACCUUCGGCGGGGGAUAGCCGGCCCAACGGCCGGGUAAUACCGCGUACGACCACUUUGGGACAUCCCUCGGUGGUGAAAGCAGCAAUGCGCCGAUGGAGUGCCUCGCGGCCUAUUAGCUAGUUGGUGAGGUAACGGCUCACCAAGGCGACGACGGGUAGCUGGUCUGAGAGGAUGGCCAGCCACAGUUGGGACUGAGACACCGGCCCAGACCUCCGUAGGGGAGG